rnacentral:rRNA from 1 species
GACAUAGGUGGCGAACGUUAUCCGGAAUUAUUGGGCGUAAAGGGUGCGUAGAUGGUAGAAUAAGUUGCUGGUCGAUGCCAAACUCAAUUUGACGGAAGCUAGCAAUACUGUUCUGCUAGAGGGCAGGAGAGGUUGAUGGAAUUCUGUGUGGAGCGGUGAAAUGCGUUGAUAUCAUCAGGAACACCGGUGGCGAAAGCGGCUUACUGGGUCUCUUCUGACGCUGAGGAACGAAAGCUAGGGGAGCGAACGGG